rnacentral:rRNA from 1 species
AUUGAACGCUGGCGGCAGGCCUAACACAUGCAAGUCGAACGGUAACAGGAAGCAGCUUGCUGCUUCGCUGACGAGUGGCGGACGGGUGAGUAAUGUCUGGGAAACUGCCUGAUGGAGGGGGAUAACUACUGGAAGCGGUAGCUAAUACCGCAUAACGUCGCAAGACCAAAGAGGGGGACCUUCGGGCCUCUUGCCAUCGGAUGUGCCCAGAUGGGAUUAGCUAGUAGGUGGGGUAACGGCUCACCUAGGCGACGAUCCCUAGCUGGUCUGAGAGGAUGACCAGCCACACUGGAACUGAGACACGGUCCAGACUCCUACGGGAGGCAGCAGUGGGGAAUAUUGCACAAUGGGCGCAAGCCUGAUGCAGCCAUGCCGCGUGUAUGAAGAAGGCCUUCGGGUUGUAAAGUACUUUCAGCGGGGAGGAAGGUGUUGAGGUUAAUAACCUCAGCAAUUGACGUUACCCGCAGAAGAAGCACCGGCUAACUCCGUGCCAGCCGCCGCGGUAAUAC